rnacentral:snRNA from 1 species
GUGUUAGCUUCAGCAGCACGCUAAAAUUGGAAUGAUAAGGAGAAGAUUAGCACAGCCCUGGCUAGGCAAGGAUGACACUCAGAGUCCCUUGAAGCAUUCCAAAAGGGG